rnacentral:rRNA from 1 species
CUACGGGGUGCACCAGUGGGGAAUAUUGGACAAUGGGGGAAACCCUGAUCCAGCAAUGCCGCGUGUGUGAAGAAGGCCUGCGGGUUGUAAAGCACUUUCGGUUGGGAGGACUGCUUCUAGCACUAAUAUUGUUGGAAGUUGACGUUACCUUCAGAAGAAGCACCGGAUAACUCCGUGCCAGCAGCCGCGGUAAUACGGAGGGUGCAAGCGUUAAUCGGAAUUACUGGGCGUAAAGCGCGCGUAGGCGGCUAGAUCAGUCGGGUGUGAAAGCCCCGGGCUUAACCUGGGAACUGCAUCCGAUACUGUCUAGCUUGAGUACAGGAGAGGAGAGUGGAAUUCCACAUGUAGCGGUGAAAUGCGUAGAUAUGUGGAGGAGCACCAAUGGCGAAGGCAGCUCUCUGGCCUGAUACUGACGCUGAGGUGCGGAAGCGUGGGGAGCAAACAGGAUUAGAUACCCCCGUAGUC